GUAUUGGACUUGGUAUUUUAGGAGAUUUUGGGAUAUUCUUAAAAUCAGCUGUUAUUCAAGUGAUGAUUUUUAAAAGUCUCCUCAAAUCCUAUGUUAGUCAAAUACUAAUUUAGGUAAAGUCACCUAAAAUGAUUCACAAUCUCUUGUUAUUCAACCAACAAUUUUUAAAUCUCAGAUCAAAUCUGUUGUUAUUCAAAAUAUCACAAUAUUUGCAUAAGAAGUUAGUGAAACUGAUUUUAGAAGACUUUUUAUACUGUUUUAGUUGAAAAAUAUAACUUAAACAAUCGCACCUAUACAGGUGGAAAAGCCAUCUUCAAUCACUUUUCGAUUAUUUUUUUCAUCCAUUGAACAUCUUACAAGAGCAAUCGAAGAGAUAAUUGAAGAAUCUACAAAUUUGUAAUUUCAAUUUUAUAGAUUAGAUAUGAAUUGAGCUUGGGACUUCCAUCUCUUCUUUUCCUCCAUAGAAUUUUCUCGCGUCACUCGCCGUCAUCCUCUUCAAUUACCUAAAUCCUUCGAUUCACUCAUGAAAUCUCCAUUAAUUUCAAAUUUGUCAAUCCUUUUUCUGUCAUCCUUACUAGAUUUACAACAACUUCAUCAAAUCAAAAUCUACACGAGUGCAAGGCAAAGGACCUUCAUCAAAUCACUUGCUUCUGACAUCGUCUGAGGCCGGUGACUUCUUCUUCAUCCUCUUUGUUAGUCUAUUACCAAAUCAUUACCUGGUAACUCUCGAAACCUUUCAAAGUCGUCUUUUUGAAUGUGUAUAAAAGCUGAAUGUCUCUCUCCAUUCUUUCCCAGAAAUUACUUCUCUCUCUUACUUGUAUAUGAAAUUUUGGGGACCGAUUAGAAUCUCAAUUGGAUGAGUUUGAAUCACAACUUUUAGCCAUCACGCUGGUCGUCUUCGAGUUUCUGUCAUUCUAAAGUAGAGAUUUCUCUCUAUGGAUCUAUUACAGUCAAUGAAAAUAAAUGCUUAAACGCUAAACAAAAAAGGCUUGUACUGGCUGGUGAUGUGUCUAGUCCGUUUGGUGUUGAUAUACCGGCGAUUACGAUUGUGUUAAUUUGCGUUAUCGUCGUUGGUGUCGUUAUCGUUGUCGGUGUACAUCUCUUGGAACGUCCUUGGUGGUCAUGUGAAUCCAGCGGUCAUAACUCAAGGUAUCAUUGGUUGAUUUGAUGGUGAUGAGUGCUCUCGUUAUGAUGUUAGGCCUGCAGUUCAAUAUGCAGGGUUACUUAUUAGGUGUAUAUAUAUAUACACUCACGAUGAUCAAUAGCUUUCUUCUCCCCUGCAAAAUUAGUAACGCUACUUCAAGGUUCAUCUCUUGUUUUGUCAAAGUGAGUAAUUCCUCUUCAUUUACUCUAGAAAAAUAACAACAUUGAACAUGAGAGUUUCCAUGUGAUGAUCAUUGAACAAGGGCAGUGUUGUUUUGGUUGGCUAUGUUAUUGUCCAUGUGAUGAUGAGAAUCGGACGGUGGUGUUUCUUUGUUGUCAUCGUCGGUAAUGCUAUUGUGAUCGGACGAACAUUGAUGCUGGAGGAGGAACGUAUGGCACUCAUAUUGCCAUUGAAGUUGUUGUUGUGAUGAUGAUUUUUGUGGUUGAUGUAUAUGUCAUCGUUCAAACAUAGACAUAGACAUCGUAUUUCUUGUCAUCAUAUAUGUGGAUAUGGAGGGGAGAAUGUGGGAGAAAAAGUGAAACAAAUUUGGCGUAGACAUUGGUUGAGAUUUUUAGAGACAAAUUUUCCUUUU